GCUUUCUCCACUUUAGCCUCACUACACACCGUUGCUUCUGUUCUACAGGCGAAUUGCACGGUUGCCAGCUAUAGAAAACAGUAUCCCCAGAACAGAACAUCCAAUUUCGUGGAGGCAAGAUUUAGUAAUGAUGGUGAUCAAAGUCAUAGCAGCUGGGAGCUACAAGUUUCAAAAUGGGCAGCAAAAGAAGACCAAGUAGGGGAGAAGGGAAAAGUGUUUCUUUUAAAGAAGCCUGUAAGCUGAUCUUGGGGAGAAAGGAGAAAGUCCUGGAACCGCUAGUAAAUACAUGGAGAAGACAGCCUAGGUUGCAGCAAGCAAAUUUAUAUUGGACCAAAGAGAGAAAAAUAUGCACAUAUGCUAGCAUUGGCUUAACACGCAGAGGCCCAGUCUUUUCUAAACUCUUCAUGGGAAGAAGCCAACUCUGCAGCUUUGCCUCCCACAG